UAUAGUGCGUUCAUCAUUGCACACGUCACGUCGCUGCCUCCAGCGCUUGCUCUUCGGAUUUUAUCGGUGCCGUGUAUACUGGGAUGCGCUCCGAAGCGUCUACCACAGCGGCAUCUGUGAAACGUGGUCGCCCGCGGAAGCACGCCGCAGAAGACGAAGCAAGGGAACACAAAAAGGAAUGCCGUGCAAGUUUACAACGCGCACGAAGACAUACGGAUGAAUACCUAAGCGAAAACUUUUCCCCAGAGCGACUACGAUGCUUUCGCAUUCCCACACCGCAGGACGCGAGACAACUCAUGCUGGGUAAAAGGAACAGUGCUCUGGCAGCUACCAGGCGUCUCAGAACGCUGGCGUGACGAGGAGCGUCGCCAGUGGCGUUGCAGACGUCGAUCUUCUAGGUGCACGAGAUGAGAACAACCGGAAACCGUCAGUGCCGCCGAGAGGUUCCCAAUGUGCUCUAGAGGCUUGCGUAGGCUGCGUGUGCGAGUGUCAGCUCACCUUUAUCCGCCGCCCCAUCUGUCCUUGCAGUAUAAUAUUGCUGUGGCUGGCUGGUCUUUUCGCGCCUACCCCCCAACCGAACGACCUCGGCGGAUCUCUCCCAACAUCAACGAGAAAAGUUCACGAGUCGCGUGAGCCAGUCCGCAGAAAAAAUACAACGUAUACAUGGUGGAUGGAGCGACGCUCAUUUCAAUACAACACACGCACGCAUUUAUCAAUACAAGCGCUCAAACGAAGACGGCAUCUGAUAUGCGACAACAUUCCUGCCACCCUCGCAAGUACGCAGCCUGUUCUCAUAAGGAUAAGGCAACCUUUACCGAGCAAUUUCCUGAGCAAGAACGGUCAGCACUGACCGUUCCUUAUCGAGUACUAUAGGCAGAGACUGCGCGCGUCUACCGCCGUCGGUUACAAGACUGGACCGAACUGCCACUCUUGAACGUGGUCCAAAAUUUCACUUCAAGGUGUGUCCCGGCGGCCAGAUUGGCGUUCUGCACGUUUGCAAAGUGGAAGGCGGGCGGCUCGACCCCAGAGCGCGCGCAUGGCACGCAUCAAGGCUGAUCUGCACGUUUCUUCUGGAAUGCGUUCUCCGAUCAGCGUGGACUAUAGAGCGACCGGCGCUGUGGGUAGCUAAUGGGGUGCUCUGUGAAGCGGAAUACAUUAAAAUGUUUGCCUAUU